CCUACGGGUGGCAGCAGUGGGGAAUAUUGCACAAUGGGGGAAACCCUGAUGCAGCGACGCCGCGUGGGUGACGAAGUAUUUCGGUAUGUAAAGCCCUAUCAGCAGGGAAGAAGAUGACAGUACCUGACCAAGAAGCCCCGGCUAACUACGUGCCAGCAGCCGCGGUAAUACGUAGGGGGCAAGCGUUAUCCGGAUUUACUGGGUGUAAAGGGAGCGUAGGUGGCAUGGCAAGCCAGAAGUGAAAACCCGGGGCUUAACCCCGCGGAUUGCUUUUGGAACUGUCAGGCUGGAGUGCAGGUGGGGCAGGCGGAAUUCCUGGUGUAGCGGUGAAAUGCGUAGAUAUCAGGAGGAACACCGGUGGCGAAGGCGGCCUGCUGGACUGUAACUGACACUGAGGCUCGAAAGCGUGGGGAGCAAACAGGAUUAGAUACCCUUGUAGUC
rnacentral:rRNA from 1 species